GGAAAGAGGCGGUGGGAGAAGAGGGGGUGGAGCCGGGGGAGGAGGGAACGUGUGGGAACUUGGGGACUGGGCGAGGUGAGGGCUUGGGCGGGCGUGAGCCCCAGGUGCUGCGCUCUCUGCCUGGGCUCGGAACCCGGCGGGACCAGGACCACAGUCUCCGGGGUCAUCCGUUCCCUCCCCACCCAAAAAGGAAUCGCCACCGGGUCGGAGGCUGAGGCUUAGAAGCUGAUGUCUUCUCUCUGAGGUGGAAUUACAUUUACCAAGCUCAUGGGACUGAUGUGGAAAAUCGGAACGUCAGUGUAUUCACUGAUAACGAGAAAUAUAAUUGCUGAGAAGACUGGAAUACUCUCAUCAGUGUGACCAGCACAUUCUUUCCCAGAGGCAGAUCUAAGUGAAAAGCCAAAUUAUACAAAGAAGGUGGCUUGGUGAGCGUUUGAUCAUUGAGUUCUAUUGAUGAAGAGCCUAAUGCAGGUCUCCACUGAAUGUCAAUGUCAAACAUUGUACUGGACACUAGGUGGAGAAUGGUGAAUAAGAGAGAUGGGUCUCCGUGCUCACAGGUUCUAAGGCACUGGGGGAAGACAGGCCCUGAACAGUUCCUGGUGUUCAAGGAAAUCUCUGUCAAAACUCCGUGGAGCAUGAGCUAAAGGAACAGAGACAUCAGUGACUUCAUGUGAGUUUAUGUUCAUUUGCUACAGCAGCGGUAGGAAGCUAACUCAGCGCUCAUCGAACGUUAGCUCUGGCCAUUGGGGAGGAACUUCAGCUGCAUGUUACCUGUGGUCAGUGUGUUCAGUAAAUACUGAUCACAAUAAACAUAAUGGAUACGAGAACUCGCCGGAAGCGGUAUAGCAGGAGGUCUGUUCCUUUUCUGCUUAACUGUUGGUAUCGGAAGCAUCUGAAAGUACUUUGUUCAGUUUUUAAAAAAAAUCUGUAAUUCUGAACCAGUUACUUUAUUCCACGGUGCCGGCCUGAUUCCACACUUUGGUGAAAAUUAGUAAUUUUUUAACAGGUAGAGGCGGCAGUGAAAUGGAACACACCUCAGGUCGGAAGUCCGAAAGUUGGGCCCUGGUCUCAGCUCCACCUCUAUCUGGCAGUGUGACUUGGGUCAUCUUGCCUCCUCUCUUUGGGUUUUGUUUUCCCCAUUCAGAAAAUGAAGGAAUUAGAUCAAGAAUAAUUCCCAUGUGUCAAAUGCCUACAAUGCACAAUUUAUACAUAUGGUCUCAUCUGAGCCACAUAAAAACUGUGCAAGGUAUCAUCCCCAUUUUAUAGUUGAGAAAACUGAGAGGCCCAGAGAGGUUAAGUGACUUUCCCAAGGUCACAGAGUAUCAGAGCUGUGAUUUAAAACCAGGACUGUUUGACUCGUUUUGAUAAGCCCCUCUACCUUUCCACGUUUUGGAGGUCGACACUGUCUUCACAGAACAUGCUUAUGAGGCACCUGCUUUUUUCCGUAUAUCAUAGUGAGGAUAAUGGGUCUCUCUAGCUUCCCACUUGAGGGGUCUGGAACCUGGUCCCUCUCUUGUGUUUCUGAGAACCUCUGAUUCAGCCCCUCGGAGACUUCCCUCGCAACCAUGUAUCCCUCCUCUCACCUCUAACAGACACUACGAGGUGCUGAACCAAUGUCUGGCCUCUCCUUUUUACUUAGUAACAGAAUCCUAAUUUUGUUCGAAUAAAAUGUACCCACUUAAAAAUACCUGCCCGCAUUCCCUUGCAGGUGCACCCGUACAGGUGGUCCCCUGACCCAGUUCUGACCAAUGAGAUGUAAGUGGACGUUUGGGUGGGGAUUCUUGGGAAUCUAUCUUCUUCAUACUAAAAGGUGGGAGAAGUCAGCAAGCCUAAGGCACAAAUUGCCUUUGUUUUCAUCCUCGCCUGGAACGUAGGUGAGGUUUCUGGAAGUGGAGCAGCCAUCUUGUGACUGUGAGGGUGAGUGCCACCUGCUAAGGAUAGCAGAGCCGGAAGACCGAAGAAACUUCUUUGUAAUCGGUCCUCUGUACCAGCCUGGAUUGCCUAGACUUCUUGUCACAUGAGAAAAAUAAAGCUUUAUUUGGUCAGAUUUCUGUUCUGUCAACUUCAUACCAUCCUAACUGACAGGUUCUCUGAGAAAAGUCUCUCCUCUGCCCUGUAGGCCUGACAUGUGGCCUUAAUAAGCACCUGUGGUGACUCAAAAAUAGACCAGGGGGGAAGAGAAAUUGGCCAUGGCUGUGAUUCUGAACUUGCUGAGCCAUCACCUGUUCAAUCCAUGCUCUGAAGAAGAGUCUGUUAAUUACACUCUCCUUGGCCAGCCAGAGCACAGGAGGCUGCGUCCGUGUGUUCUCAGGGAAGCUCAAAUAUAGCUCAGGCUCCUUCACCGCUUUUGCUGAGUGUGCAGCUUCCGCGUGUCUGGCAGCCCCAGCGAAGAAUGGAGAAGCUUUUCCCGGGAGGUUAGAGUCUGAAGAAGGUGCUAGGAAACAGGGAUGCUGGCAAGGUCUGGCUCAAGGAAACAAGAUCUUCCCUCCCGCCUUCUGCAAGGAGUUAAAGCAAUAUGGAAAAGUACAAAGAAGGAAGUGAGAAAGUCAAGUGAUCAAGGUCAACAGCACGAAGGGGCUUCACUGUCAGGGAUGAGCUGAGGCUCAGGAAGCAGCCACGAAAACCUGCCUUGCACCCCCUCUCAUUUCUCCGCUGCGCUGGAAUCGGACUCUAAAUGGAAAGAGGGAGUCAAGAGGGCCCCAACCUGGCUCCCUCAUCCGGGCAGAAGCUGUCCCUUUAAAAGAGAGAGGAGGCAGAGUUGGCUUACUGCUGCUAGAAGAGGCUGACUGACAGCCAGUGUGCUCCCGGGAGGCCUGAUGUCAUCGCCAGUGAGCAACAAGGCACCUGACUGGCAGCAGAAUGAGGAGUCCAGGAGCCUUGGCUGUGACUGCCGGGG